UACGUAGGGGGCAAGCGUUGUCCGGAAUUACUGGGCGUAAAGAGUGUGUAGGCGGUGUUCCCAGUCUGUUGUGAAAUCUCCCGGCUUAACUGGGAGGGUGCAGCGGAAACUAGAAUGCUAGAGGGUGGGAGAGGUAAGCGGAAUUCCUGGUGUAGCGGUGAAAUGCGUAGAUAUCAGGAGGAACACCUGUGGUGUAGACAGCUUACUGGACCACUUCUGACGCUGAGACACGAAAGCGUGGGUAGCAAAACGG
rnacentral:rRNA from 1 species